UACGAAGGGGGCUAGCGUUGUCCGGAAUCACUGGGCGUAAAGGGCGCGUAGGCGGCUCAUGAAGGCUGUGGUGAAAGUCCGGGGCUCAACCUCGGAUCGGCCGUGGCGACUCGUGGGCUGGAGCACUGUAGAGGCGGGUGGAAUUCCGGGUGUAGCGGUGGAAUGCGUAGAGAUCCGGAAGAACACCAGUGGCGAAGGCGGCCCGCUGGGCAGUGGCUGACGCUGAGGCGCGACAGCGUGGGGGGCAAACAGG
rnacentral:rRNA from 1 species